UACAAAAUAUGAUGACAUACAUUGCAUGGGAACCAAGAAUCUUCCACAACUGAUUCAUGAGAUGACAACAAAAGCUAGAGGAAAGCAACCAUCACGAGCACAAAUUUAUAUUAAUACUCGAACUCGAAAAGAUGGAAGUAUUGUUAAUGAAAA